GGGCAAAGAUCCUUCUCAGGUAGUAGGCCUUAAAAGCUGCUAUAACUCCUUGAUCCAUUGGUUGGAGUUGGUGUCUGGAGGGAGAAACACUGCUUUGAUAUUGGGAUGAAGACCACCAAAAAAAGGAGGAGGUCCAGGAGCAUUAUGAACACUAAGCAAAAUUUUGAAAGGACAUGCAGACUAUCCACACCUCGCUCAAGCUCUAAUAAAACAAGAAUUAGGAAGAUUGUACACGCUCUACUACUUCUCUGAAUGAAUGUUUUUCUCCAAUCAACUCUGUAUCUGAACUGCAUGGUGUUACAACAAACCAAAAAAUAAAGACAAUUUCUGAUACUGGUAAGUGCUAUGAAAGAAACCAAACAGUGCCAUGGGAUAGAGAGGGACUGAGGCUGGGUGAGGACCACUUUAGUUAGGACAGCCAGAAAGGACCUUUCUGAGGAGACAGAAAUAGAAUCAAAGCAAGAAUGAUAAAAAGGAGGCAGCAAAGCAAAGAAAGAACAUUCAAGCACAGGAACAGCAAGAGUGGCCAGGUGGAUGAAAGGAAGAGUUUGAAAUAUUUGUGGGACAGUGAGAAAUCCAGACCACAGUGAUUGAGGGGAGGAGCAUUAGGGGUGACUUCAGAGAAGUGAUCAGGGGACCUGUAAGGAGAUUCCAUUUUGUUCUAACCACAAUAAGAUGCCACAGGAGAAGUUCAAACAAAAGAUUAAUAUAAACUGAUAAGCAUAUUUAAAAGUUUAACUCGUGGGUGUGGAGGAGAAUGGCACACACGGACAUGAUGGAGGCAGGGAAAGCACUCAGGAGUGAUCCAGGUGAGAAGGGAAGGGCGGAGGGGCACAGAUGUUAGUUUACAGGACUUGUGGGUGAAUCGUGACUGGAUAGGAGAGGAAGGAAAAAGAAGAAUAGAUGAUUCCGG
rnacentral:lncRNA from 1 species